rnacentral:Y_RNA from 1 species
CAGUAAAAUGCCAAUAGGACUACAUUUGUCGGUGGUUCAAAUCCACCCAGAUUGAUGCAAAUCAAUUUGUAGCUCAGUUGGGUAGAGCCAUGUAUAAAAGGUCUUAUCAUUUUUGUUUACUGGUC